rnacentral:tRNA from 1 species
GGGGAUAUAGUUUAAUAAGGUUAAAACUUAGACUUUGCAUGUCUAAUAUAUGGAUUCAAGUUCCAUUUUCUCCA